ensembl:lncRNA
CUCGCCACCAGUAUGCUCAUGUUCCUGUGUGCGGCUUCAAUUAACUUCACCGUCAGUGGAGAUCGGCGGGACAACAGACCAGCGGCUUGGAGGUUAAUGUGCAUGCAGGAGUCAGAACGGCCUCUUAACAUUCUGGAAAACCAAACUCUAUCCCAUCGGCCCGGUAUCCACAGCCUCCAACAUCAGCCUCUGACGUCAGCUUCUAUCAGCCUCUAAACCAUCCCAUUGGUUGUGUAGCCACAGCCUCUAACGUCAGCCUCUAAACCAUCCCAUUGGUUGUGUAGCCACAGCCUCUAACGUCAGCCUCUAAACCAUCCCAUUGGUUGUGCAGCCACAGCCUCUAACGUCAGCCUCUAAACCAUCCUAUUGGUUGUGUAGCCACAGCCUCUAACAUCAUACUCUAAACCAUCAUAUUGGUUGUGUAGCCACAGCCUCUAACAUCAGCCUCUAAACCAUCCCAUUGGUUGUGUAGCCACAGCCUCUAACGUCAGCCUCUAAACCAUCCCAUUGGUUGUGUAGCCACAGCCUCUAACGUCAGCCUCUAAACCAUCCCAUUGGUUGUGUAGCCACAUCCUCUGACGUCAGCCUCUAAACCAUCCCAUUGGUUGUGUAGCCACAGCCUCUAACGUCAGCCUCUAAACCAUCCCAUUGGUUGUGUAGCCACAGCCUCUA